UGUAAUAUAGCUCAGUGGCAUAGUGCCUGCCUGGCAAGCACAAGGUUCUGAGUUCAAUUCUCAGUACAAUAA
rnacentral:tRNA from 1 species